UUGAAAUGGUAGCGGAUGAGUUGUGGGUAGCGGAGAAAUUCCAAUCGAACCCGGAGAUAGCUGGUUCUCUCCGAAAUAGCUUUAGGGCUAGCCUUGAAAUAGAUUACCGGAGGUAAAGCACUGAAUUGGCUAGGGGCCGAGAGGUUACUGAACCUUAUCAAACUCAGAAUGCCGGAUAAUCGUUUUUCAGGAGUCAGACAGUGGGAGAUAAGUUUCAUUGUCGAAAGGGAAACAGCCCAGACCUACAGCUAAGGUCCCAAAGUAUAGUUAAGUGGAAAAGGAUGUGGAAUUGCUUAGACAACCAGGAUGUUGGCUUAGAAGCAGCCACUCAUUAAAAGAGUGCGUAAUAGCUCACUGGUCGAGUGAUUCUGCGCCGAAAAUUUAACGGGGCUAAACUAUACACCGAAGCUUAGGAUACCUUAUGGUAUGGUAGGAGAGCGUUCUGUACGGGGUGAAGUCGUAGCGAAAGCGGCGGUGGACUGUACAGAAGUGAGAAUGCCGGAAUAAGUAGCGAGAAUUAAGUGAGAAUCUUAAUGGCCGAAAGUCUAAGGUUUUUGGAGGAAGGUUCGUCCGCUCCAAGUAAGUCGGGAGCUAAGGUGAGGCCGAAAGGCGUAGCCGAUGCACAUACGGUUGAUAUUCCGUAACCAUCUGCAAUUUAAGCAAAGGGACACUUCAAAAGGGUGUGACCCGGGCGUUGGUUGACCCGGGCGUAAGGGACCGAAAUUAGAGUAGGGAAGCACACUUAGCUGAAGGCGAGAAAAGCUUUGUGUAUAGAAGCAGAUGCCCGUACCGCAAACCGACACAGGUGGACAGGAAGAGAAUUCUAAGGCCAGCGGGAGAAGGGUAGUUAAGGAACUCGGCAAAUUGACUCCGUAACUUCGGAAUAAGGAGUGCUCGAAAGAGCCGCAGAGAAUAGGCCCAGGCGACUGUUUAGCAAAAACACAGGUCUCUGCCAAAUCGAAAGAUGAAGUAUAGGGGCUGACACCUGCCCGGUGCCGGAAGGUUAAGAGGAGGAGUGAGAGCUCCGAAUUGAAGCCCCGGUAAACGGCGGCCGUAACAAUAACGGUCCUAAGGUAGCGAAAUUCCUUGUCGGGUAAGUUCCGACCCGCACGAAUGGUGUAACGAUCUGGGCACUGUCUCAACUACCCACCCGGCGAAAUUGUAGUACCGGUGAAGAUGCCGGUUACCUGCGGCAAGACGGAAAGACCCCAUGGAGCUUUACUGUAGCCUGAUAUUGGGUUUCGGUAAUCUAUGUACAGGAUAGGCGGGAGACUUGGAAGCGUGAGCGUCAGCUUACGUGGAGUCAUUGUUGGGAUACCGCCCUUAGGUUUCUGGAAUUCUAACCUGCGACCGUGAAUCCGGUCGGGGGACAUUGUCAGGUGGGCAGUUUGACUGGGGCGGUCGCCUCCGAAAAGGUAACGGAGGCGCUCAAAGGUUAGCUCAGCACGGACGGAAACCGUGCCUCUGAGUGUAAACGCAAAAGCUAGCCUAACUGCGAGGGUGACGGCCCGAGCAGUAACGAAAGUUGGAGUUAGUGAUCCGGCGGUAUGUGAAUGGAAAUGCCGUCGCUCAACGGAUAAAAGCUACCCUGGGGAUAACAGGCUGAUCUCCCCCAAGAGUCCACAUCGACGGGGAGGUUUGGCACCUCGAUGUCGGCUCAUCACAUCCUGGGGCUGUAUUCGGUCCCAAGGGUUCGGCUGUUCGCCGAUUAAAGUGGUACGCGAGCUGGGUUCAGAACGUCGCGAGACAGUUCGGUCCCUAUCUGUCGUGGGCGCAGGAUAUUUGAGGAGCUCUGUCCUUAGUACGAGAGGACCGGGAUGGACGUACCUCUGGUGCACCAGUUGUCAUGCCAAUGGCACGGCUGGGCAGCUAUGUACGGAACGGAUAAACGCUGAAAGCAUCUAAGCGUGAAGCCGACUCCAAGAUUAGAUAUCCCAUCGUUUAAACGAGUAAGACCCCUUGAAGACUACGAGGUUGAUAGGCUGCGUGUGUAAGUGUCGUGAGGCAUUUAGCUUGGCAGUACUAAUAGGUCGAGGGCUUGACCAC
rnacentral:rRNA from 1 species